AUAAUGGUAAACAAAUGUAAUCAAAUUCAAAACAACUCAAAGAAAUUUCAACCAAACAAUAAAAUUCUUAAAAACAUAUUAGAAUGAUCACAAAUAUUACUCAAAUAUAUAUCAAUUCAACCUUAAAUUGAUUCUAGUUAAAACCCUAUUGAAUUUCACUCAAAAUUUAGACCAAACCUAAUUAAAUCUUAAACCCUAAUAAAUCCUAAACCCUAAGCCAAAUCCCAAAGAAACCUUAAAUUAAACCCUAAAUCAAACUCUAUUUCAAACCAUAAAUCCUAAACCAAAUCCUAAAUCAAUCCUAAACCCUAAUCCAAAUUCUAAAUCCUAAACCAAACCUUAAAUCAUACCCUAAUCAAACCCUAAUCCAAAUCCUAAAUCAAAUCCUAACCAAACCCUAAACCCUAAUCCAAACCCUAAUCCAAAUCCUAAAUCAAAUCCUAACCAAACCCUAAAUCCUAACCCAAACCCUAAUCCAACCCUAAAUCCUAAUCAAAUCCUAAAUUCUAAUCCAAACCCUAAUUCAAACCCUAAAUCAAACCUUAACCAAAUCCUAAUCCAAAUCCUAAACUCUAAAUCAAACCCUAAAUCGAACCCUAGCCAAACCCUUAUCCAAAUCCCAGUAAUU
rnacentral:lncRNA from 1 species